rnacentral:rRNA from 1 species
GAUGAACGCUAGCUACAGGCUUAACACAUGCAAGUCGAGGGGUAACGAGAGGAAAGCUUGCUUUCCUUGUCGACGACCGGCGCACGGGUGAGUAACGCGUAUCCAACCUGCCCCCAACUAGGGAAUAACCUUGCGAAAGUAAGACUAAUACCCUAUAAUUUCCUCAGAUGUCAUCUGACGAGGAAUAAAGAUUUAUCGGUUGUGGAUGGGGAUGCGUCUGAUUAGCUUGUUGGCGGGGUAACGGCCCACCAAGGCAACGAUCAGUAGGGGUUCUGAGAGGAAGAUCCCCCACAUUGGAACUGAGACACGGGCCAAACGCCUACGGGAGGCAGCAGUGAGGAAUAUUGGUCAAUGGGCGGAAGCCUGAACCAGCCAAGUAGCGUGCAGGAUGACGGCCCUAUGGGUUGUAAACUGCUUUUAUACAGGAAUAAAGUUAGCCACGUGUGGUUAUUUGUAGGUACUGUAUGAAUAAGGACCGGCUAAUUCCGUGCCAGCCGCCGCGGUAAGAC